UAGUGAAAAUAUAUAAAAUAAAAACAAUUUAGACUACUAAAUGUCAUGAUAACUUUUGCAAGGCCAUACAAAAUUCAAAAUUUGGGCACAACACUAAGAAAAUAACCAUCAAAAAAUAAAUAUUGAUGAAACAAGAAAAUGCUUGAUUCCAAAAUCCUCCUCACUUACGUCAUCAGACUCUUCUUUCUCCUCGACCUUUUCUUCUUUCUUUGACUCAGCAGCGGCGGCGGCUGCAGGUGCAGCGCCACCACCAGCUGCAGCAGCAACCGCAACACCACC
rnacentral:lncRNA from 1 species